GUUGUGAGGUUAAGCGAAUAAGCGUACACGGUGGAUGCCUAGGCAAUCAGAGGCGAUGAAGGACGUGCUAAUCUGCGAAAAGCGUCGGUAAGGUGAUAUGAACCGUUAUACCCGACGAUAUCCGAAUGGGGAAACCCAGUAUCCAAUGGAUACUAUCAUUAACUGAAUCCAUAGGUUAAUGAGGCGAACCGGGAGAACUGAAACAUCUCAGUACCCCGAGGAAAAGAAAUCAACCGAGAUUCCCCUAGUAGCGGCGAGCGAACGGGGAGCAGCCCAGAGUCUUAAUCAAUAGCAGUGUCAGGAGAACGGUCUGGAAAGUCCGGCAGUAAAGGGUGAUAGCCCCGUAUCUGAAGAUGCUGUUAUUGUGAACUCGACGAGUAGGGCGGGACACGUGUUAUCCUGUCUGAAUAUGGGGGGACCAUCCUCCAAGGCUAAAUACUCCUGAUUGACCGAUAGUGAACCAGUACCGUGAGGGAAAGGCGAAAAGAACCCCGGCGAGGGGAGUGAAAAAGAACCUGAAACCGUGUACGUACAAGCAGUAGGAGCCCCAUCACUCAAGUGCCUCGCACUGAGUGAUGCAAUAACAUCACCGAAAAUAGCGCCGAAUUUGCUAACAAGGUUGGUCGAUUUUUUCAAGCCGUCGCGCAGUGUACCUAGAAGUACACGAGCAACGGAAGUUAAAAAAUCGGGCAAGAUUGAACGCAAAGGCAAGCGGGACAUUUGAGGAUGGGGUGACUGCGUACCUUUUGUAUAAUGGGUCAGCGACUUAUAUUCUGUAGCGAGGUUAACCGUAUAGGGGAGCC
rnacentral:rRNA from 1 species